rnacentral:rRNA from 1 species
CCUACGGGGGGCAGCAGUAGGGAAUCUUCCACAAUGGGCGAAAGCCUGAUGGAGCAACGCCGCGUGGGUGAAGAAGGUCUUCGGAUCGUAAAACCCUGUUGUUAGAGAAGAAAGUGCUUGAGAGUAACUGUUCACGUUUCGACGUUAUCUGCCCAGAAAGCCCCGGCUAACUACGUGCCAGCAGCCGCGGUAAUACGGAGGUGGCAAGCGUUAUCCGGAUUUAUUGGGCGUAAAGGGAACGCAGGCGGUCUUUUAAGUCUGAUGUGAAAGCCUUCGGCUUAACCGGAGUAGUGCAUUGGAAACUGGGAGACUUGAGUGCAGAAGAGGAGAGUGGAACUCCAGGUGUAGCGGUGAAAUGCGUAGAGAUAUGGAAGAACACCAGUGGCGAAAGCGGCUCUCUGGACUGUAACUGACGCUGAGGUUCGAAAGCGUGGGUAGCAAACAGGAUUAGAUACCCUUGUAGUC